GAUGAACGCUGGCGGCGUGCCUAACACAUGCAAGUCGAACGUGAGAGUGGAACAAGCGCUUCGGUGUGAGUUCUGCUUGAAAGUGGCGGACGGGUGAGUAACACGUGGGUAACCUGCCUUGGAGUGGGGGAUAACCAUUGGAAACGAUGGCUAAUACCGCAUGGGUCUGUGGCGAUGGGAAUCGUUGCGGGUAAAGCUCAGGCGCUUCAAGAGGGGCCUGCGGCCGAUUAGCUAGUUGGUGAGGUAAAGGCUCACCAAGGCGAAGAUCGGUAGCUGGUCUGAGAGGACGAUCAGCCACACGGGAACUGAGAAACGGUCCCGACUCCUACGGGGGGCAGCAGUGAGGAAUAUUGCACAAUGGGGGGAACCCUGAUGCAGCAACGCCGCGUGGAGGAUGAAGGUCUUCGGAUUGUAAACUCCUUUUAUCGGGGGAAGAGUGAGGACGGUACCCGGUGAAUAAGUCACGGCUAACUACGUG
rnacentral:rRNA from 1 species